rnacentral:rRNA from 1 species
GAUGAACGCUGGCGGCGUGCUUAACACAUGCAAGUCGAACGAAGCACUUUAUUUGAUUUCCUUCGGGACUGAUUAUUUUGUGACUGAGUGGCGGACGGGUGAGUAACGCGUGGGUAACCUGCCUUGUACAGGGGGAUAACAGUUGGAAACGGCUGCUAAUACCGCAUAAGCGCACGGCAUCGCAUGAUGCAGUGUGAAAAACUCCGGUGGUAUAAGAUGGACCCGCGUUGGAUUAGCUAGUUGGUGAGGUAACGGCCCACCAAGGCGACGAUCCAUAGCCGACCUGAGAGGGUGACCGGCCACAUUGGGACUGAGACACGGCCCAAACUCCUACGGGAGGCAGCAGUGGGGAAUAUUGCACAAUGGGCGAAAGCCUGAUGCAGCGACACCGCGUGAGCGAAGAAGUAUUUCGGUAUGUAAAGCUCUAUCAGCAGGGAAGAUAAUGACGGUACCUGACUAAGAAGCACCGGCUAAAUACGUG